AACGAACGCUGGCGGCAUGCCUAACACAUGCAAGUCGAACGAGACCUUCGGGUCUAGUGGCGCACGGGUGCGUAACGCGUGGGAACCUGCCCUUAGGUUCGGAAUAACUCCCCGAAAGGGGUGCGAAUACCGGAUAAUGUCUUCGGACCAAAGAUUUAUCGCCUUUGGAUGGGCCCGCGUUGGAUUAGCUAGUUGGUAGGGUAAAAGCCUACCAAGGCGACGAUCCAUAGCUGGUCUGAGAGGAUGAUCAGCCACACUGGGACUGAGACACGGCCCAGACUCCUACGGGAGGCAGCAGUGGGGAAUAUUGAACAAUGGGCGAAAGCCUGAUCCAGCAAUGCCGCGUGAGUGAUGAAGGCCUUAGGGUUGUAAAGCUCUUUUACCCGGGAUGAUAAUGACAGUACCGGGAGAAUAAGCUCCGGCUAACUCCGUG
rnacentral:rRNA from 1 species